CAGCAGCCGCGGUAAUACGAAGGGGGCUAGCGUUGUUCGGAAUUACUGGGCGUAAAGCGCACGUAGGCGGAUCGAUCAGUCAGGGGUGAAAUCCCAGGGCUCAACCCUGGAACCGCCUUUGAUACUGUCGAUCUGGAGUAUGGAAGAGGUGAGUGGAAUUCCGAGUGUAGAGGUGAAAUUCGUAGAUAUUCGGAGGAACACCAGUGGCGAAGGCGGCUCACUGGUCCAUUACUGACGCUGAGGUGCGAAAGCGUGGGGAGCAAACAGGAUUAGAUACCCCUGUAGUCCCUGUCUCUUAUAU
rnacentral:rRNA from 1 species